rnacentral:rRNA from 1 species
GACGUAGGGCGUGAGCGUUGUCCGGAUUUAUUGGGCGUAAAGAGCUCGUAGGCGGCUUGUCGCGUCGACUGUGAAAUCCCGCGGCUCAACCGCGGGUCUGCAGUCGAUACGGGCAGGCUAGAGUUCGGUAGGGGAGACUGGAAUUCCUGGUGUAGCGGUGAAAUGCGCAGAUAUCAGGAGGAACACCGAUGGCGAAGGCAGGUCUCUGGGCCGAUACUGACGCUGAGGAGCGAAAGCGUGGGGAGCGAACGGG